UACAGAGGGUGCGAGCGUUAAUCGGAAUUACUGGGCGUAAAGCGUGCGUAGACGGCUAUCUAAGUCGGGUGUGAAAGCCCCGGGCUCAACCUGGGAAUUGCAUUCGAGACUGAAUAGCUAGGGUACGGUAGAGGGAAGUGGAAUUUCCGGUGUGGCGGUGAAAUGCGUAGAUAUCGGAAGGAACAUCAGUGGCGAAAGCGACUUCCUGGACCAGUACCGACGUCAGGCACGAAAGCGUGGGGAGCAAACAGGGA
rnacentral:rRNA from 1 species